rnacentral:rRNA from 1 species
UACGAAGGGGGCUAGCGUUGUUCGGAAUUACUGGGCGUAAAGCGCACGUAGGCGGAUACUUAAGUCAGGGGUGAAAUCCCGGGGCUCAACCCCGGAACUGCCUUUGAUACUGGGUAUCUCGAGUCCGGAAGAGGUGAGUGGAAUUCCGAGUGUAGAGGUGAAAUUCGUAGAUAUUCGGAGGAACACCAGUGGCGAAGGCGGCUCACUGGUCCGGUACUGACGCUGAGGUGCGAAAGCGUGGGGAGCAAACA